CUGCUCGCUUUAGCAGCACAUAUACAAAAAAUUGAAAUGAUAACAAAGAUUAGCAUGGCCCCUGCCAAAGGAUGACAUGCAAAUCUGUAAAAUGUUCCAUAUUUUA
rnacentral:snRNA from 1 species